GAUGAACGCUGGCGGCGUGCUUAACACAUGCAAGUCGAACGGGGUAUCCGCAAGGGUAUCUAGUGGCGAAUGGGUGAGUAACACGUAGGGAUCUGCCCUCCAGUGGGGAAUAACGCCGCGAAAGCGGUGCUAAUACCGCACGUGACCGCCUUCGGGCGGGGAAAGCUGGGCAACCGGCGCUGGAGGAGGGACCUGCGGCCCAUCAGCUAGUUGGUAGGGUAACGGCCUACCAAGGCGACGACGGGAGGGGCCUGAGAGGGUGGUCCCCCACACUGGCACUGACACACGGGCCAGACUCCUACGGGAGGCAGCAGUGAGGAAUAUUGCCCAAUGACGCAAGUCUGAGGCAGCAACG
rnacentral:rRNA from 1 species